rnacentral:lncRNA from 1 species
UCAACUCAAUGAGUUCGGAUGCCUAGUUACAUCUCACGAACUCGGACUCAACUCAACGAGUUCGGACAUUUCACAUCCAUAAGUGAACUCGGACUCAACUCAACGAGUUCGGAUGUUCAACCAUCCUAGUGACAUGUCACUUGUAUCCUAAUCUAUUCCUAAGGUUCAAACGGGAUUUUCCUCGAACACAUCUCCUUGCCAUCUUCCGUAAAAUACCGAAACCAAUACUCAGUAACACUUUAUAUUUAACACAUAAUACACUUAAGUUGCAUUUUAUUCGAAAAUAACCACAAAGCAUAUAUUUCAU